UUGCUGACUGUGAGCUCUGCAGCCAUAGCACGAGCUGUGAAGUGGUUUUUUUUCCAGUCUCCAGACCUCUCCCCUCUCUCUGUAGAAGCACCACUUCUGGGCGGCAGCUGCAUCGGGCGUGCAGGUCAGCUGCAAGGGUAGAAGUCUGAUAGUGGAAAAGCCCUUUAAGGAAAGAGCAAAAGAUGGGGUAGAACAUUAAACUCCCAGAGGGAAGGAAGGAGCAGGAAGCAGGAGGACUGCAUGACCCAAAUAUUUCCCAUCAGGGAAGCGUACCAUUUAACUGAAUGCUCGAUGCCAUUGAAAUGGUACCUCUGUGCUCUGCCUGACAGCGCUGUGAGAAGGGUUUCAGGUAUCACUUAACUGUCACAAGCAAGAAAACCUUCCUCUGCUCAACAGAUGUGCAACUCUAAAUCCAGGGUUUUUCUUUCUACAGUUAGAUCCAACAGUAACAGCACCGUUAAGAGUUCCGCGCGAUUCCUCUUGAACUGGGUGAAGCUCUCUCAAAUGAUGCUGAGCCUGUCUGCUCACAGUGAGCAGAAAUUUCAGUGUGGCAAAAACCAACUAAGAAAUUCUUUCAACUGAUCUUGUGAAGAAAGCAGAUUGGGACAGCACAGCUGCUCCUGCUUGGCGUUUCCUAUGCUUCUUCCUGUGGCCAGGAAAACCCGGCAUAAUGAAAAUGCUUACAACUCCAUGGCUUCUUAAAUGAGGCCCAGUACUGACUCGAACAAAGGCCAGAAUUCAAGCAAGAUGUUUUCCUCUCUCAUGAGCAGAUCUUUAGCAUGAAGCUGUUAGUUGAAACAAACCGAGGAAGGGGGAAGGACGCACACCAACAAAAAUCCACAAAUCCAGGAAGCCUUGGUGUGCAGGCAGCCCAUCUGAACAGAGCAGAGGCACUGACUGCUCAGCCUAGGAAGAAGCACACCACUUCUGCUCCCCUGUAUGGGCACUGUUUCCGCUGCUCCUCAGA